UACGUAGGGGGCAAGCGUUGUCCGGAUUUACUGGGCGUAAAGAGCGUGUAGGCGGCCACGCAGGUCCGUUGUGAAAACUGGAGGCUCAACCUCCAGCUGUCGACGGAAACCGUGUGGCUAGAGUCCGGAAGAGGAGAGUGGAACUGCGAGUGUAGAGGUGAAAUUCGUAGAUAUUCGCAAGAACACCAGUGGCGAAGGCGGCUCACUGGCCCGGUACUGACGCUGAGGUGCGAAAGCGUGGGGAGCAAACAGG
rnacentral:rRNA from 1 species